rnacentral:lncRNA from 10 species
CGCUGCUGUCUGGCAGACCUUGGUUUCGGUGGGCACCAGAAGCGAGGCAGAUUGCUUGCUGCUGCAACUUCACGCGUGAGCUCCAGGCUCCCCUGGUUGGAAGGUGCCAGGGAGUGAGGCGGUUUUAAGAUUCCUUCAACAUCAGGAUUCCCGAUCAUCUCAUCAACCGACUUGUUAAGAAAACUGAGGCCCAGGGAAGUGGCUCACAAUUGUGUAGAAUUGUGAGGUGUCUUGACUGCUGGGCCAGGUAUCCGGCAAAUAAUGGCAGGGGGCAGGGGCAGGCGUGCAGCACCCCAAGGGUAUGUCAGGCCUGGAGACUGACUUCAGAGACAACUUGGGGAGAUUCUUGGAGCUUGAGUGUACCCCUUCCAGGAGGUGCCUCCAAGCUUGUCACCCUGGGAGAGAUUUAGA